rnacentral:tRNA from 2 species
GGGUGGUUAGCUCAGUUGGUUAGAGCGUCGCGUUGACAUCGCGAAGGUCGUAGGUUCGAGUCCUAUAUCACCCA